UUUAACUUGCCACGUACCUUAUAAAUACAUGCAUUCAUCUUCUCUUAUUGUCACUCAAUCAAUCCAUUAUAGCUUGAUAUCAUCAUAGUCCAAUAGCAAAUACUUAAUCAGCUUCUUGUGAUCGUAAGAAGAAAUUAACUAAAUGGGUAGUGAGAGUAAAACAUGGUUGAUUCUUUCCUUUGUUCUCAUGGUUGCAAGCAUCAUGCAACAUAGUACUGUCCUCGGAGAAUCCCAAGUGCCUUGCAUUUUUGUGUUUGGGGAUUCUCUAU
rnacentral:lncRNA from 1 species